CUCUUCCGAUCUGGGACAUCGUUGCGACUGUUUACCGUCGGUCGGAUCGUGUACGCAACAGGGUACUUUCCUGUUUCCCGAGCCACCUUCGGCUGUUGGGUCAGAAUUUCUCACGAGACGUACACGGGACCGGGCCAACACCUUCGUGAUGGCAUAACGACGGGACAUCCGAGGCAACGUUGGGAAAGGAUGGGCGUACGUGAACACGGGUGUUUUCCCUAAGAAAAAUCACCCGUGUUCCGUACG